GAGAGGAUUAUGAUUUCAGGAAAGUGAUAAACAGCAGGGACAGAAUAAGGUCCUUUUUUUGUUGUUUCCCAAGGAUUAUUAGCUUGAAAGUUAAUAUCGGAUAUGGGCUGUGGCUUACUGUCCUAUCAGAAAUAGAAAAACUAGCAAUAGAAGAGACCCAGAUCAAGUUUGGCUGAAAGGCAAACACCAUUCCCAACUGGCUUUACCAUCUGUCUUUCCACAGAGGCAAGUCACAGGCUAUAAGGUGCUUAACAUUUCCCUGGCUUCAGAAGGCACUAGGGAAGAGGCUUUCACAGGCAAGCAUCCCCAGGAUAACCUGACCGAUUUACCCUGACUCUGGUGCACCCUCUGUCUGUCCCACCCUACAGGCACGACUAAGGAUGGAAUCUGGCUCUGUCACCCAGGCUGGAGUGCAGUGGCAGGAUCUCUGCUCACUGCAAGCUCCGCCUCCUGGGUUCAUUCCAUUCUCCUGCCUCAGCCUCCCAAGUAGCUGGGACUACAGGCGCCCACCACCAUGCCAGGCUAAUUUUUUAUAUUUUUAGUAGAGACAGGGUUUCCCCGUAUUAGCCAGGAUGGUCUCGAUCUCCUGACCUUGUGAUCCGCCCACCUCCG